GCGGACCGACGGGAGCUUGCUCCCUUAGGUCAGCGGCGGACGGGUGAGUAACACGUGGGUAACCUGCCUGUAAGACUGGGAUAACUCCGGGAAACCGGGGCUAAUACCGGAUGCUUGAUUGAACCGCAUGGUUCAAUCAUAAAAGGUGGCUUUUAGCUACCACUUACAGAUGGACCCGCGGCGCAUUAGCUAGUUGGUGAGGUAACGGCUCACCAAGGCGACGAUGCGUAGCCGACCUGAGAGGGUGAUCGGCCACACUGGGACUGAGACACGGCCCAGACUCCUACGGGAGGCAGCAGUAGGGAAUCUUCCGCAAUGGACGAAAGUCUGACGGAGCAACGCCGCGUGAGUGAUGAAGGUUUUCGGAUCGUAAAACUCUGUUGUUAGGGAAGAACAAGUACCGUUCGAAUAGGGCGGCACCUUGACGGUACCUAACCAGAAAGCCACGGCUAACUACGUGCCAGCAGCCGCGGUAAUACGUAGGUGGCAAGCGUUGUCCGGAAUUAUUGGGCGUAAAGCGCGCGCAGGCGGUUUCUUAAGUCUGAUGUGAAAGCCCCCGGCUCAACCGGGGAGGGUCAUUGGAAACUGGGGAACUUGAGUGCAGAAGAGGAGAGUGGAAUUCCACGUGUAGCGGUGAAAUGCGUAGAGAUGUGGAGGAACACCAGUGGCGAAGGCGACUCUCUGGUCUGUAACUGACGC
rnacentral:rRNA from 1 species